CACACAUGGAUAAAGUUCAUGGACUGAACUGCCCCACCAGGACAUCUUUUAGAGAAUCCAGAACUUUGCAGGUGUCCAGACAAGAACAGUUAAAAAGGGACCAAAACUUGGCAGACAUCACAGAGGCCUGGCCUCAAACUGAGGAUCUUUGUGGCUGUUCAUUGCCCUGCUCAGUGUGUAAAUUUUCCUCCCUGAAAAUGUCAGUUUAUGUGGAGAGGAACGAGCACAGUGAGGCUGCUUGAGUGUGCACUGGACGUCCACAGGGGACCAUCAAUAUUAACACAGGGAUAUGACAGA